rnacentral:pre_miRNA from 1 species
UUGGAAAUCUCUGAAUCCCUGCAUUAGCCCCGUGACAGGCUGCAAGGAGUCAGAGAUUUCCAACU